rnacentral:rRNA from 1 species
GACGAACGCUGGCGGCGUGCUUAACACAUGCAAGUCGAACGGAAGGGCCCUGCUUUUGUGGGGUGCUCGAGUGGCGAACGGGUGAGUAACACGUGAGUAACCUGCCCUUGACUUUGGGAUAACUUCAGGAAACUGGGGCUAAUACAGGAUAGGAGCCCCUGUUGCGUGGUGGGGGGGGGAAAGUUUCGGCGGGUGUGGAUGGACGCGCGGAUUAUCAGCUUGUUGGUGGGGUAGUGGCUGACCAAGGCAUAGGAGGGUAGCCGGCCUGUGAGGGUGGACGGGCUCCUUGGGACUGCGAGACGGCCCAGACUCCUACGUUGGGCAGCAGUGGGGAAUAUGGCCCAAUGGUCGCAAGCCUGAUGCAGCAACGCUGCGGUCGUGAUGACGGCCUUCGGGGUGUAAACCGCUUUCGCCUGUUACGACGCGUGAGUGACGGUAAUCGGUAAAUAAGCACCGGCUAACUACGUG